rnacentral:ribozyme from 11 species
CAAAUAGACAAACAACACGUGUACAAAGGAAGUAGAAGGGAGAUGGAAGGAAGGAAGAAGGCAUGCAGAGAGGAAAGGCGACAUAAAUGCGUCGCCUCUCUCCCUCUUUUCAUUCUCGUUUCUGCUUGUUUAUUUGCUUUUUUUGUUC